CUGGAGGGCGCGCGCCCGAGCGCUGCCGCGGGGUUCCCGGGGCGGCGGGAGGCGGCCAAGCCAGUGGCUCCUCGGAAUGGCGUGGUCGCCACGAAUCAGCAAGUGAUGAUUGAGGGUCUACAUGAGAUCCAAAGAAAAAAGACACGUGCCUAAUUUAUAAGCCUAAUCGAAAUGAACACAGAUACACAACCAACUGUGAUGCUGGCUCAAGAGGUCUCCAGCUCCUCAGGUGAUUUUCAUAUGCAGCCAAGUAUGAGAACAAAUGCUUUCUGCCCAUUCCUACUACAGUGAUGACCAUGGCCCAGGAGCAUCAGCAGAGCCUAUAGUCAACAAUCCUUUCAAGGGUGAAAAAGAAAGACAGGCUUCUGAGAGUGGACCCUUCCAGAAGGAGACACGGCUGCCUCCUAACUGGGAUUCCUUCUGCUGGUGUCUUCCCCUCACUCACCUUUCUGUACGCCUAGAGGAAGCCUUAUUAAAUGCUAAUGUCAUCACGUGA
rnacentral:lncRNA from 1 species